CACUCCUACGGGAGGCAGCAGUGGGGAAUAUUGCACAAUGGGCGCAAGCCUGAUGCAGCCAUGCCGCGUGUAUGAAGAAGGCCUUCGGGUUGUAAAGUACUUUCAGCGGGGAGGAAGGCAAUACGGUUAAUAACCGUGUUGAUUGACGUUACCCGCAGAAGAAGCACCGGCUAACUCCGUGCCAGCAGCCGCGGUACUACGGAGGGUGCAAGCGUUAAUCGGAAUUACUGGGCGUAAAGCGCACGCAGGCGGUCUGUCAAGUCGGAUGGGAAAACCCCGGGCUCAACCUGGGAACUGCAUUGGAAACUGGCAGGCUUGAGUCUUGUAGAGGGGGGUAGAAUUCCAGGUGUAGCGGUGAAAUGCGGAGAGAUCUGGAGGAAUACCGGUGGCGAAGGCGGCCCCCUGGACAAAGACUGACGCUCAGGUGCGAAAGCGUGGGGAGCAAACAGGAUUAGAAACCCUAGUAGUCCCAUGAU
rnacentral:rRNA from 1 species